rnacentral:tRNA from 1 species
UUUUGCUUUAGUAAACAUUAAUUAUGAACGAUUUUUAAGACGAAGAAUCUAUAUUAAUAAGGG